CAGCCGCCACGGUAAUACGUAGGCAGCAAGCGUUGUUCGGAGUUACUGGGCGUAAAGGGUGCGUAGGCGGUUCUAUAAGUAUGGUGUGAAAUCUCCCGGCUUAACUGGGAGGGUGCGCUAUAAACUGUGGGACUAGAGUGUGGGAGAGGAAAGUGGAAUUCCUGGUGUAGCGGCGAAAUGCGUAGAUAUCAGGAGGAACACCGGUGGUGUAAACGGCUUUCUGGACCAUAACUGACGCUGAGGCACGAAAGCGUGGGUAGCAAACAGGAUUAGAUACCCCCGUAGUCCCUGUCUCUUAUAC
rnacentral:rRNA from 1 species